rnacentral:tRNA from 1 species
GCUCCCAUGGCAUAGUGGUCACUGCACUCACCUUGCAUGCGGGAGACCCAGGUUCGAUUCCCGGCAGGGUCA